UACGUAGGGGGCAAGCGUUGUCCGGAUUUACUGGGCGUAAAGAGCGUGUAGGCGGCCAAACAGGUCCGUUGUGAAAACUGGAGGCUCAACCUCCAGACGUCGACGGAAACCGUAUGGCUAGAGUCCGGAAGAGGAGAGUGGAAUUCCUGGUGUAGCGGGUGAAAUGCGCAGAUAUCAGGAAGAACACCAAUGGCGAAGGCAGCUCUCUGGGACGGUACUGACGCUGAGACGCGAAAGCGUGGGGAGCGAACAGG
rnacentral:rRNA from 1 species